AGCGAACGCUGGCGGCAGGCCUAAUACAUGCAAGUCGAGCGGGUCCUUCGGGAUUAGCGGCGGACGGGUGAGUAACGCGUGGGAACGUGCCCUUUGGUACGGAACAACUGAGGGAAACUUCAGCUAAUACCGUAUGUGCCCUUCGGGGAAAGAUUUAUCGCCAUUGGAGCGGCCCGCGUUGGAUUAGGUAGUUGGUGAGGUAAAGGCUCACCAAGCCUACGAUCCAUAGCUGGUCUGAGAGGAUGACCAGCCACACUGGGACUGAGACACGGCCCAGACUCCUACGGGAGGCAGCAGUAGGGAAUCUUGCGCAAUGGGCGAAAGCCUGACGCAGCCAUGCCGCGUGAAUGAUGAAGGUCUUAGGAUUGUAAAAAUUCUUUCUACCGGGGACGAUAAUGACGGUACCCGGAGAAGAAGCCCCGGCUAACUUCGUGCCAGCAGCCGCGGUAAU
rnacentral:rRNA from 1 species